GCGGGGGUCGCCCAGCCCGGUCAAAGGCGUGAGUUCAGACCUCAUCCCUUAGGGGUUCGUGGGUUCAAAUCCCACCCCCCGCA
rnacentral:tRNA from 1 species